GUGCCAGCCGCCGCGGUAAUACCGGCAGCACGAGUGAUGGCCGAUCUUAUUGGGCCUAAAGCGUCCGUAGCUGGCCGAGCAAGUUCGUCGGGAAAUCCACCAGCCCAACUGGUGGACGUCCGGCGAAAACUGUUCGGCUUGGAGCCGGAAGACCCAAGGGGUACGUCCGGGGUAGGAGUGAAAUCCCGUAAUCCCGGACGGACCGCCGAUGGCGAAAGCACCUUGGGAAGACGGACUCGACAGUGAGGGACGAAAGCUGGGGUCUCGAACCGGAUUAGAUACCCCGGUAGUCC
rnacentral:rRNA from 1 species